rnacentral:rRNA from 1 species
UACGUAGGGGGCAAGCGUUGUCCGGAAUCAUUGGGCGUAAAGAGCGUGUAGGCGGUCCGGUAAGUCCGUUGUGAAAGUCAAGGGCUCAACCCUUGAAUGCCGGCGGAUACUGUCGGGCUAGAGUCCGGAAGAGGCGAGUGGAAUUCCCGGUGUAGCGGUGAAAUGCGCAGAUAUCGGGAGGAACACCUAUGGCGAAGGCAGCUCGCUGGGACGGUACUGGCGCUGAGACGCGAAAGCGUGGGGAGCAAACAGG